UAAUAACUCAACAACAUCAUAAUCUCAUAUUCAAGUAGACAAGAAUAACAACUUUCCCUUUUUAUUUGCCUACUGGUAUCUAUAGGAGUCCAUAGAGAUGUCAAACUACGUGUAAACUAACAUCCAACCUUAUCAACUAACCGGCCAUUCCCAUAUUCCGUUCGGUAUGAGCGCCAAAAUACUAUUUCUCAAUACCUCAUCCAGUAUGAGGAUGAAACGGGCUGUCCCCAUACCUCGUCCGGUAUGAGCGCGAAAAUAUCAAUUCUUGAUGUCUCGUCCAGUAUGAGAGUGAAACGGACCGUCCCCAUACGUCGUCCGGUAUGAACGCCAAAAUAUCAAUUCUCGAUACCCCGUCCGAUAUGUCGGUGAAACGGGUCAUCCCCAUACUCUGUCCGGUAUAAGCAUCAAAAAUAUCAAUUCUCAAUACUCUGUCUAGUAUAAGGCGACGUUCACGGUAGGGUUUCCUAUGUACUCAGUCCGUCCACCAUCUUUC
rnacentral:lncRNA from 1 species